rnacentral:rRNA from 1 species
GACAGAGGGUGCAAACGUUGUUCGGAUUUACUGGGCGUAAAGCGUGUGUAGGCGGCUUCGCAAGUUGGAUGUGAAAUCCCACGGCUCAACCGUGGACGUGCAUCCAAAACUGCGUCGCUAGAGUCUCGGAGAGGAAGGUGGAAUGCUUGGUGUAGAGGUGAAAUUCGUAGAUAUCAAGCAGAACACCUGCGGCGAAGGCGGCCUUCUGGACGAUGACUGACGCUGAGACACGAAAGUGUGGGGAGCAAACAGG